rnacentral:rRNA from 1 species
UAAGUGAAGAGUUUGAUCCUGGCUCAGAGUGAACGCUGGCGGCAGGCCUAACACAUGCAAGUCGAACGGCAGCACAGCAGUAGCAAUACUGUGGGUGGCGAGUGGCGGACGGGUGAGGAAUACAUCGGAAUCUGCCCAGUCGUGGGGGAUAACAUAGGGAAACUUAUGCUAAUACCGCAUACGACCUACGGGUGAAAGCGGGGGAUCGCAAGACCUCGCGCGAUUGGAUGAGCCGAUGUCCGAUUAGCUAGUUGGCGGGGUAAUGGCCCACCAAGGCGACGAUCGGUAGCUGGUCUGAGAGGAUGAUCAGCCACACUGGAACUGAGACACGGUCCAGACUCCUACGGGAGGCAGCAGUGGGGAAUAUUGGACAAUGGGCGCAAGCCUGAUCCAGCCAUGCCGCGUGGGUGAAGAAGGCCUUCGG